AAACGACCGUCUCAGUUCGGAUUGCAGGCUGCAACUCGCCUGCAUGAAGCUGGAAUUGCUAGUAAUCGCGGAUCAGCGUGCCGCGGUGAAUACGUUCCCGGGCCUUGUACACACCGCCCGUCACACCAUGAGAGUCGGGAACACCCGAAGUCCGUAGUCUAACCGCAAGGAGGGCGCGGCCGAAGGUGGGUCCGGUAAUUGGGGUGAAGUCGUAACAAGGUAAC
rnacentral:rRNA from 1 species